rnacentral:rRNA from 1 species
GAUGAACGCUCGCUACAGGCUUAACACAUGCAAGUCGAGGGGCAGCAUGGCCUUAGCUUGCUAAGGCCGAUGGCGACCGGCGCACGGGUGAGUAACACGUAUCCAGCCUGCCGUCUACUCUUGGACAGCCUUCUGAAAGGAAGAUUAAUACAAGAUGGCAUCAUGAGUCCGCAUGUUCACAUGAUUAAAGGUAUUCCGGUAGACGAUGGGGAUGCGUUCCAUUAGAUAGUAGGCGGGGUAACGGCCCACCUAGUCUUCGAUGGAUAGGGGUUCUGAGAGGAAGGUCCCCCACAUUGGAACUGAGACACGGUCCAAACUCCUACGGGAGGCAGCAGUGAGGAAUAUUGGUCAAUGGGCGCAGGCCUGAACCAGCCAAGUAGCGUGAAGGAUGACUGCCCUAUGGGUUGUAAACUUCUUUUAUAAAGGAAUAAAGUCGGGUAUGGAUACCCGUUUGCAUGUACUUUAUGAAUAAGGAUCGGCUAACUCCGUG